AUUGAACGCUGGCGGCAGGCCUAACACAUGCAAGUCGAGCGAGCGGCGGACGGGUGAGUAAUGUCUGGGAAACUGCCUGAUGGAGGGGGAUAACUACUGGAAACGGUAGCUAAUACCGCAUACCAUCAGAUGUGCCCAGAGGGGAUUAGCUAGUAGGUGGGGUAAUGGCCAACCUAGGCUACGAUCCCUAGCCGGUCUGAGAGGGUGACCAGCCACACUGGAACUGAGACACGGUCCAGACUCCUACGGGAGGCAGCAGUGGGGAAUAUUGCACAAUGGGCGCAAGCCUGAUGCAGCCAUGCCGCGUGAGUGAAGAAGGUCUUCGGGUUGUAAAGCACUUUCAGCGGGGAGGCGUUACCCACAGAAGAAGCACCGGCUAACUCCGUGCCAGCAGCCGCGGUAAUUC
rnacentral:rRNA from 1 species